rnacentral:rRNA from 1 species
UACGUAGGUGGCAAGCGUUAUCCGGAUUUAUUGGGCGUAAAGGGAACGCAGGCGGUCUUUUAAGUCUGAUGUGAAAGCCUUCGGCUUAACCGGAGUAGUGCAUUGGAAACUGGGAGACUUGAGUGCAGAAGAGGAGAGCGGAACUCCAUGUGUAGCGGUGAAAUGCGUAGAUAUAUGGAAGAGCACCAGUGGCGAAAGCGGCUCUCUGGUCUGUAACUGACGCUGAGGUUCGAAAGCGUGGGUAGCAAACAGG